rnacentral:rRNA from 1 species
AUAGAGACUCAGAGCUGCAUAUCAAUAAGCGGAGGAAAAGAAACUAACAAGGAUUCCCUUAGUAACGGCGAGUGAAGCGGGAAGAGCUCAAAUUUGAAAUCUUCAAGGUUUUACCUUGACGAAUUGUAGUUUAAAGAAGUGUUUUCUGUAGUGGAGUUUGGUAAAAGUUCUUUGGAAUAGGACAUCAUAGAGGGUGAGAAUCCCGUAUUUGGUCAUUCCUCCUAGCGUUGUGAUACACUUUCAACGAGUCGGAUUGUUUGGGAAUGCAGUCCAAAAUGGGUGGUAAAUUUCAUCUAAAGCUAAAUAUUGGCGAGAGACCGAUAGCGAACAAGUACCGUGAGGGAAAGAUGAAAAGAACUUUGAAAAGAGAGUUAAACAGUACGUGAAAUUGUCAAAAGGGAAGCGUUUGACACCAGUGUUGUUUUUCCGAAAAUCAAUUACGAAUGUUUUGUUUUUGAGGAGUUAUGACUUCAUCGGCUUGCUUCUCUCUUUACGAAACUUUCUUAAUGCACUUUUCGGUUAACAAGUCAACAUCAAUUUCUUUUGUUGUAAAAGGGUAUGAGGAAGGUGGCUUUCUUUUCGGAGAAAGUGUUUAUAGCCUUGUAGCCUCUGCAAUCGGAGAGAUUGAGGUCUGCAGCGUAGAUCCUUCGGGGUUAGAUACAGUUUGUGCUAAGUUAUAGCUUUUCAUAGACAACUUGUUGACUAUGUUUAGUCUUGUAGCUUACUCGCAUGACGCUAUUUUACCUACGCUUAGGAUGUUGAUAGUCACAGCGUGUAC